rnacentral:lncRNA from 1 species
AGAUGGAUCAGUGGGGUCUUUCCCGUUGAAACGUAAGCUAUCGCAGAAAGAAGAGCCUGAGCCAAAAAGGUUGCAGCGUAUUGCUAAAGGUUCUAAGUCUCGAGACAGUGUUUUUGCUGCUUUAUGCUCAACCUUAAGUCAAGCAGUUUUACCCUCUAAAAAGACGGGAAGUACAGCACAAGACGGUUCAUGCUCAGAUGGAGACAAGAAGACUGUCGAAUCCAAACACGAGGAAAAAGGGGAUUCUACUGAUAAUGGCAGUGCAGAUUUGGAUAAACAUG